rnacentral:lncRNA from 1 species
AUGUCUGCGUUAAACAUGACAGAGAUUUGUCUGUCCGUGAGGGCUCUGGGGGCACUGGAGUGUGAGGCCCUUGAAAACCGGACUCUCCGCUGUUCUCAGAGGAAGAAGUACUUUGGGAUGCUCCUACUAGAAAUUUCGAAGUGGGACCUUCAGUGUAUCAUUUGGGGAGGCACACAGAUUUGGAGGUCAAGCACAGAUGCCCUCCAUAGAAGCACAGGGCCAGGGCCUGCUGAGGGUUGUAGUGCCCGAGAACCUCCUUGGCCUCUCAAACAUCAAAGUGCCCAGGAAUCGAUACCUGUGCUCCGCCAGUAUGUCUACUGAACCAGAGCCAAUAUCAUCAGUGAGUAACUUCCUAGGAAAUGUCUCUUUUUCCUUCCUUCUUUCCUCUCUCCUCCGUCCCUCUCUCUUUCUUUGUUCUUGUUUUGAUUUAUAACAAGAGCACCGUGGCUGAAUUUUUUACAAGCNNNNNNNNNNNNNNNNNNNNNNNNNNNNNNNNNNNNNNNNNNNNNNNNNNNNNNNNNNNNNNNNNNNNNNNNNNNNNNNNNNNNNNNNNNNNNNNNNNNUUUAUAACAAGAGCACCGUGGCUGAAUUUUUUACAAGCAUUUGACAAAAACCCCACCACAGCCUAGAACAUCAACAUUCAUCUUCUGGAUGACGUGUGCCAGUCAGCCGUUUCCCUGUUGACCAAAAAAGAGGCUUCCAGCUCCCUGGAGGGGCAGGAACACACAGAAGCAACAAGACCAUAAAAGUGCAUUCCAAGCUGGAGUGAAGGGCCAUGAGGUGUCGAGGCAGGGGGAGUUCGUGGUUUCCCAGGUAAGCAGAUCUAGAGUCAAAUCCUGUUUCAUUUAUGCAUUCACUCAGAAAGUAUUUGAAUAUAUGAAUAUCUGUCCUAUUGGCCAGAUUCUGUUCCAGGCAUCCAUGGUAUAUCAGUAGACAGAGAAAUUCCCUAUUUUCAUUGAACUUGCAAGCUCAUAGAGCAUGUGAAAGACAAUGCAACCAAAUUACCAUGUUUUGUUGAUCUGCGGGAAGUACAGAGUUUCCCCAUUAGCUGCUCUGAAUUUGGGGGCCUUUCUGUAAUCACAGGGUAUCUUACAAUUGCUGUCGGCCAGGCAGCUGCCUUUAAGAAUGUCAUCAACUGCGACUGUGCUGAGCAGAGCUGUGAAACAGGAGCGGGGCAGGUGCGAUAACUCUCGUUAUCGCGAGAGUAUUGGCACGAGACCCGGAAAGCGACCGUUAGAGAUCCCGCUGUGCCAAUGGUCAGCCUGGCAGUGGCGGUCCUCACGGCAGAAGGUGUGGUGAGAGGUGGAUUACAGCCUUCUCCCCGGGGGCCUCCAGGUGCUCUGGCCUCAGGCCAGCAGGUGAACUGGGGGGCCGUGGGGACAGGCCAGGGGCUGUGUCUCACACGGCUGCCCGUUGGUCGGGUCCAAGCCUGGAAGUGACCGUGAACCUCUUCCCGGUCCUCGCCUGUGAGACUUGAUGGCGACGUUAGUCGUUUCCACGGUUCACCGUCCACAGAAGCCCCAGCAAUGGAAGGAUACACACACUGCCAUUCAGGUAAUGCCUUCAACCAGCUUCAGUCUCUCCUUUCAAGUUUCAGAAAUCAAUCCGGCUUAGAUGAGUUUUCUAACUCUGGGAGGUCAGGGUUAAAUUGCAGGGACAUUGCAUGUCAUUACUUCGGGUCCACCUCUGUGGUCCGGGCUGUUCUAAGAAGAGCAAUCAUUGUGAAUUUGGAAUUAACCCAAUUGGUAUUAGCUACAACACGUAUUCCUAUUGAUCCUCUACAAAGGAUUCUCUCCAGUUAAAUGAAAAGCCUGGGGGCGGCGGGGUCCUGGGUGCCUGGCUCCCUCAUUGAUGAUAGCUGGGCGGGGACUUGGAUCUGAGGGGCUGCCAGCUGAGAUCAACCUCUUCAGCAGGGCCUAGGUGCUAGGAGGAGGACCCAGACUGGGGGCUCGGCCAAUGCUCCUGGAACUCUGUCCUCUUAGCCAGGAUCUGGCCCUCAGAGAGUGAAAGCCGAGCCUUAGGACCUUGCCUUUUCUAAUCCGAAUGGAGAAUAACGUUUGGUGAAGGUUUACAGGAACAUCGUGACCUGACCAUGACUUCGCCUCAAGAACAAAGGACCUAGGACUUCCCUGGUGGUCCAGUAGUUAAGACUUCACCUUCCAAUGCAGGGGAUGCAGGUUCAAUCCCAAUCCCUGGUAGCGGAACUAAGAUCCUAUAAGCCUCAUGGGCACAAAACCAAAACAUAAAACAGAAGUAAUAUUAUAACAAGUUCAUUAAGGACUUUAGAAAUGAUCCACAUCAAAAAAAUCUAAAAAAAAAAAGAACAAAGGAUCUGAUACCAAGAAGUCUGCAACAACUAACCAUGCCCCUUUCCUAGAAAAGGGCUUGUGCUGAAAGCUCUCGGGGAGUUUGGGGUUUUUAAGGCAUGAGCCACCUGUCUCCUUGCAGGGGCCCUGCAAUAAACCUUUCUCUGCUGCAAAUUGUAACGUAUUGCUAUCCUUUGUUCUCACUGUGCAUCAGGCACAUGGACUUGAGUUUGAUAAUAGUUGAUCAUAAUGUUGCUGCUCCAAUCCAGUUGUGCAGAUUGUUGGUACUCUAUGCAUAGAAUUUAAUUUGCCACUUAAAGAUGUCUCCAAAAAGAGUCCUUGAUGAUUGGGCAUUGAAACAAC